rnacentral:tRNA from 1 species
GAAAGAUAUCACAAGAACUGCUAAUUCCUGUACCUGAAACU